rnacentral:snRNA from 1 species
GUUUCUCCCUUUGGGGACAUCCGUUAAAUUUGGAACAAUACAGAGAAGAUUAGAAUGGCCCCUCUCAAGGAUGACACUCAAAAAUCGAGAAACGGUCCAAAUUUUU